CCCCUCUCAGGGUCACACUUGGAGAGUUUCUAGUACUCUACCAGCCAUGGCUACAGGAGGGAGAAUCAAGCAGGGGCCUACCCAUUCCAUUCCUAGCUUGGGCAGUGGCCAGCGAGUGGAAGGCAAUCUGCUGCAAUC